UGCUCACCUAACCACUGCGCCUCCUCUCCGGCCUCUGUCUGCCUUGAUAGUCCUAUAAGAUGUUAGCUGGGAGUCCAACUUCACCCUUUCGCAUGUUACUCGUGGCCCUCAGCAUCGUCACAGGAUUCAGCAUGGCCUCAGGUGGCUCUACAUGCUAGUCAUACCGAGUGGCCCCUGAGGCAGCAAAACCUGAGGACAUCACCAACGCAGCUGCGCAGAUCGCUUAAGUCCUCAUGGAUCUCAGGUUUCAUCUCUUCCUGAGGCAACCGCAUGGGCCACAGUCACCAACAUGGCCUCCAGUGGCUUCGGGGACCACUGUGGUCCUUCAGGGAGGUCCAAUCCAGUGAGUGAACCUUUCUUUAUCUCGAGCUUCCAUCCUUGCCCGGAUCCAGGGCGAUCCUGAAGCCGGGCAGCA
rnacentral:lncRNA from 1 species